GGCAACCUGGCCGAGCGGUCUAAGGCGCCAGGUUAAGGUCUAUCCUGGUCUCUUCGGAGGCGAGAGUUCGAAUCUCUCGGUUGUCA
rnacentral:tRNA from 3 species